CUUAUGGCUGUAUUUACAUAGACCUUUCUGAUAAUGCUUACUGAGUUUUUACCUUUCCUUCUCCUUUAAAAAUAAAGCGUAGCAAGGCUGCAGCCCAUGUUUGAAACAUAUGUAAGGAUUUCCUUUUAUGCUACCCUCUAACCAUAUGAGAAUGGUGUUUGCUUCUCAAAACCAGAUCUGAUUGGUUGCCUCUUAGGUACACAUGAAAUUCCCAAAUUCUGCUGCUAAAUCAUAUCCCCUGUCUGAGCUCAAAAAGAAAACUUCUCAAAACGAGCUGUGCUAUUCAAAAAGCUUUUUGGGUGUGAAUUUCCUCUCGUUACAUUAUUAGUGGUGCUUGGGUAAUGCAAAACAACAUGCAGUUGAUCUUAAUCUCUGGUUAAUAAGUUCACUGACCCUACCAAUCAGUUGUUUGAAUGGAACUUUGCACGAGAAAUAGGCAGACGUGAUAACAUAGCUCUUUUAAUAAAUAUUACAGAUUGUAGAUCUACUGCACAGUUUAAAAAGAUAAGAGGGGUCAUUUACUGACACAAGUGCAGUUGCAGUCAUGCUAAAUUGCACGCAGUCAGUGCCUUAAAAAAAUCCUAUUCAUUAAAGGUUGCUCCGUGGUUCCUACAGCAGCCUGUCUCAAUACCCACAGAGCAUUUCCACAAUUGCUCAGAUUUUGCUGCAUCCCCCCUUGAGACCAUAAUACUUUGGAUUUAUGAGGAAAUGCUGCUUUGUUUUUACCCACAUUGCAAUUUCGACCUAAAGUGCAUUUGUGGGUUGUACAUGACCCCCGAGAUGUGUUCUCAUCCUCUUCUGGGCUAUGGAGAGGUAACCAUGAAGGGCUCUCUCUUCUCAUCAGUUUUUUUUUUUUCUACAAAUUUUGCUUGUUGUAACUUUUUUAGAUGUAUUUUAAUUACAAAAUGUACAGCUGUAUAAACAAGGUUGGUUGAAUGAAAUCUUUUCAUAUAUGUCUGAGAAUCGUUUUAUUUUAGUUACAUACAGAGUUAUUUUGUGGGUGUUGGUAUCUGCUUAAGCCACGUUGUACCUGUUUCAGGGUAUAUAUAAGAAUCUAUUUUAUGACAUAAAAGUUAUAUUGCAAAAAGUAUUGUAACUAUUUUUCCAUUGACAAGGUGUAUAUAUGUUUUUUAGGUGUUUGAUCUGUAUAAAAAUAGAGCCGAGUGUUAUCUUUAACCGUGAAAAUUGGUUAAAUAAGAAUGUAAGACAGGAAAACAAAACUUUUAUAGUUACCAGAAUGAACUUGUUUACUGCCUUUAUUGUGUAUUUUCUGGUUACACAUUGUAUGAUCCAUUGUACUUUUAUACUGUGUAUUUUGAGUUAAAUUAGUCACUGUACAGCUGAUGUGGUUUUUACAUUUAGCACUUUGUACAAAAUGCUGUCUACAUCUCAUAACCAAGAGAAGGCAGUCAGCAUUUUAUUUUCUUGUUGAAGUUUUUGUAUUUCAGAGUAAUACAAAUAAAUAAAUUGCGGGUAAAUUUG